GAAAUGCGAUAAGUAGUGUGAUUUGCAGAAUUCAGUGAAUCAUCGAAUCUUUGAACGCACAUUGCGCCCCUCGGUAUUCCGUGGGGCAUGCCUGUUCGAGCGUCAUCUACACCCUCAAGCUCUGCUUGGUGUUGGGCGUCUGUCCCGCCUCCGCGCGCGGACUCGCCCCAAAUGCAUUGGCAGCGGUUCCUUGCCCCCCUCUUUGCACAACACAUUGCCAUUCGAGGCGGCGGCGGCCCGCGUCCAACAAGCUCAACCCCCCCGUCUUUGACCUCGGAUCAGGUAGGGAUACCCGCUGAACUUAAGC
rnacentral:misc_RNA from 1 species